rnacentral:rRNA from 1 species
UACGUAGGGGGCUAGCGUUGUCCGGAAUCAUUGGGCGUAAAGCGCGUGUAGGCGGCCCGGUAAGUCCGCUGUGAAAGUCGGGGGCUCAACCCUCGAAUGCCGGUGGAUACUGUCGGGCUCGAGUACGGGAGAGGCGAGUGGAAUUCCUGGUGUAGCGGUGAAAUGCGCAGAUAUCAGGAGGAACACCAAUUGCGAAGGCAGCUCGCUGGAACGUUACUGACGCUGAGACGCGAAAGCGUGGGGAGCAAACAGGAUAG